rnacentral:tRNA from 1 species
UUAAUUGAAACCAAAAUAGAGGUAUAUCACUGUUAAUGAUAAAAAUGGAACUUCCCAAUUAAA